GCUCAACACCACAACAAUCUUCUAACCCUCAAGACACACACGCACACACGCUCACACAAGAUUACCACAGCCGUUAUACACAGACACUAAUCGUAAACACAUCUUGAAUACCUCUGCUGCAGUGUCAAAGGCAGUACUCGAGGUUACUUAAGUUAGAUUCACUCCCGUUUGGUGUUUGUUUAUCAAGGAACGAUGGUGUCUCUCGGCAAGGUGAUGGGGUGGUGUGUGGCCCUGGUGAUGGUGGUGGUGAUGGUGAUGGUGACGCCGAGUGAAGGAUUCUAUGGACAAGGUAACAUCAUGAGGCGCCUGUACCCCAACGGCCCCAGCGAGUACUGGAACAUGAGGACAAAGAAACAUGGGGGAUACGAGUAUUAUUCUCCCAGAGGCCAAGCUCCGGGUGUAUACCUUCCCUGAUCUCCGGCGACCAUCCUUACUAGUAGAAGGAAUUAAAUGAAGGAGUUGAUGGACUCAAGACACCUGUUACUGUCUUCACACCCUCCACACACCUAUCCACUCUUCAAGGCAGCCCCUCCUGAUGCUCUACACACCUGCAGCACACCCUCUCAUCCUACACACACCUUCCACACCUGUAUACUCAGCCUUCACCUCCACUCAGCUCUCCAGUCACGGUCAGCCCCCAGUGUUAACUCAUCCUCGUUACGCACCUGUAGACUCGCCUGUAAUUAGAGCACCUGUUAACUUGCACCUGUACUCUAUACCUGAGGAAAUGUAUACCUGCAAACCAAUGACAUGAAGACCUUUUGUUUACCUGUGGAUCGUGAGUACUGCAAACACCUGUAUAACUUACCUGGGUGGACUUACUAAUAAAACUGUAGAGCAUGGUA